CAGUCGCCGCGGUAAUACAGAGGUCCCAAGCGUUACUGAGAAUCACUGGGUUUAAAGGGUGCGUAGGUGGUCCGUUAAGUCAGUUGUGAAAUCCCCGGGCUCAACCCGGGAACUGCUUCUGAUACUGGCGGACUUGAGGCCAGUAGAGGUCACUAGAACAGACGGUGGAGCGGUGAAAUGCGUAGAUAUCGUCUGGAAUGCCGGUGGUGAAGACGGGUGACUGGGCUGGUUCUGACACUGAGGCACGAAAGCGUGGGGAGCGAACGGGAUUAGAUACCCGCGUAGUCCCUGUCUCUUAUAC
rnacentral:rRNA from 1 species